GCUCUUGAGCUGCCUUCACAGAGGUGAUCACAUCAUUACCAAAGAAAGUGACAUAUACAUAUGUGAGAGGAGACGUGUCCUUUUGUUAUGCUUCUAGAAGGCAGACCAGAGAUAUUUGGGAUCUGGGAGCAGAUUAGCUGUGAGUCUAUCUGGCCACAGUUCAGUCCUCCUCAGGGGUAGCCCGGCCUCUCCGUCUAUCCUUAUCAGUCUCCAAAUGGGAGGAAGGUGAGAAGAGAGGAGUGCAAACCUUUCCAGAGUCUCCUGGUGAAGAAGGACAAAGAGAGAGAAAGAAGGGAAGUACUUAAGUCCUUGAAGCUGCCCAACCCCUCCUCUGGCUUAUGCCAGCUCUGCUCUGCCACAGGAAUUUUUAUGGUUUGUGUGAACCGUCUAGGCAGAGGAACUCUGUGGAAGAAAAUGUAGUGACAAGAAAUCCCAAGAAAUGGGGAGUGCUUGUGUUUCUGGCGGGGGCUUUAUAUCAGAGCCACUUACCCAGCACCCCCACCUCUGGUGGAGAGAGCAUUUCUUCUAUGGGGACGUGCAAAAUGGACCCCUUACGGAUUUUCAUUGUUCUUAUAAAAUAUAUGUUAUGCCGACAAGCCCAAGAAUGGGCUCUCAUCAGAAGCAUUUCCACAUCGUUCUGCUGCCAGCCUCUGUGAUAUUGGAUACCACAAUGGAAACCAACAAAGCAAGGAAGAUCGACAUAGAGACACUGGGAAACAAAAUCUGUAUAUUUUAUUUCAAAGGGAAAGUCUUCAUGAAUGUCUCUCUCUGGCCCUUUGGAGACACGACGAACAUAGGUGUACUUUUAAUCGAGUAAAUUAAACUUGCUAUAAAGCAAGAAGCAGCAGCCGAAUGGCAUCUUGCUGGAAUAAAAACACACCAGGUCCCUUGAAACAGGACACUGGGAGGGAAAUAAUUAAUAGUCGCCCUCCCAUUUUAAGGGAGGUCUUGCUAACUGAUAGAGCCCUUUAUCAACAGUUCAGAAAUAAAGGAAUGCAUUUUAAAAGAGUCAACUAGGUAUAGACUCCCAAUGACUUUAGUGCA